ensembl:snRNA U6 U6 spliceosomal RNA
GUGCUCAUCUCGAUAGCACUUAUAAUAAAAAAUUGGAAUGAUACAGAGAAGAUUAGCAUGGCUCCUGUGCAAAGAUAACAGCAAAUUCAUGAAUUAUUCCAUAUUUUU